rnacentral:ncRNA from 1 species
UAAUUAUGGAUUGGCUUAAUUUUUGAUGUGAUUACAUGUAAGUUUUUGCUUGAUUUUUAAUUUUACUUAAUGUUGAAUUAUUUUAUUUAUAUAUUCGCAGUUUUUAUUAUUAUUUUUUAACUUUAAGUUAGAAUUAGAUAAUUUAUUAAAGGGUUGUUUAUUAUUGUGCCAGCAGACGCGGUUAUACAAUUAACUCUAGUUAAUCUUUUCUAUUUUUAUUUAUCUUUUAUUAUUUGUGGAUUUUAUUUAUUUAUUUAUUAGGUGAAAUUUUAAUUAUUUAUUAUUGUCUGGGUAUAUUAGGAUAAAUAUGAAAAUCAUUUUGUAGACUAGGAUUAGAUACCCUAUUAUUUUGAUUGUAUAUUUAUGAAUAUGUUAUUAAUAGUUAUGGUCUUUAAAUUAAAAGGAUUUGGCGGUAAUUUAAUCUUUUCAGAGGAACCUGUUCUUUAAUCGAUAAUCCACGUUGAAUUUUACUUUAAUUUUUGUUUAUAUAUCUCUGUCAUUGAAUGUUUUUUAAGGAUUUAUUUUCUUUUAUUUUUUAUUUAAUUAAUGUCAGGUCAAGGUGUAACUAUAUUAAAGGUUGAAAUGGGUUACAUUUAAUUUUAUUUAUUGGGUUUUAAUUAUUGUAAUAUUUAAAACAAAUAGGAUUUGAAAGUAAAUUAUAUUUAUUUUUUAUGGUUGAUUUGGGCUCUAAAUUAUGUACACAUCGCCCGUCACUCUCGUUAAUUUUUAAAAUGAGAUAAGUCGUAACAAAGUAAUUCUACUGGAAAGUGGAGUUUGAAUUAA